rnacentral:rRNA from 1 species
UACAUAGGGUGCAAGCGUUGUCCGGAAUUAUUGGGCGUAAAGAGCUCGUAGGUCGUUUGCCACGUCGAUUGUGAAAAUCUGAGGCUCAACCUCAGACCUGCAGUCGAUACGGGCAAACUAGAGUGUGGUAGGGGAGACUGGAAUUCCUGGUGUAGCGGUGGAAUGCGCAGAUAUCAGGAGGAACACCAAUGGCGAAGGCAGGUCUCUGGGCCAUAACUGACACUGAGGAGCGAAAGCGCGGGGAGCGAACAGGAUUAGAUACCCUGGUAGUCCGCGCCGUAAACGAUGGGCACUAGCUGUGAGAACCUUCCACGGUUUUCGCGACGCAGCAAACGCAUUAAGUGCCCCGCCUGGGGAGUACGAUCGCAAGAUUAAAACUCAAAGGAAUUGACGGGGCCCCGCACAAGCAGCGGAGCAUGCGGCUUAAUUCGACGCAACGCGAAGAACCUUACCAAGGCUUGACAUAUAGCGAAAAGUGGCAGAGAUGUCAUGUCCGCAAGGGCGCUAUACAGGUGGUGCAUGGUUGUCGUCAGCUCGUGUCGUGAGAUGUUGGGUUAAGUCCCGCAACGAGCGCAACCCUCGUUCUGUGUUACCAGCAUUCAGUUGGGGACUCACAGGAGACUGCCGGGGUUAACUCGGAGGAAGGUGGGGAUGACGUCAAAUCAUCAUGCCCCUUAUGUCUUGGGCUGCACGCAUGCUACAAUGGCCGGUACAAAGUGCUGCGAAAUCGUAAGAUUUAGCGAAUCACAUAAAGCCGGUCUCAGUUCGGAUUGAGGUCUGCAACUCGACCUCAUGAAGUUGGAGUUGCUAGUAAUCGUAGAUCAGCAACGCUACGGUGAAUACGUUCCCGGGGCU